rfam:Myotis davidii contig12230, whole genome shotgun sequence.
GGCAGUUCUCGGGUGACGCAUCCCGGAAUCAGACUCCCUCCUCUCUGGUUCUGGGUGUGUCACUCAAGAACUACA